rnacentral:rRNA from 1 species
AGGACGAACGCUGGCGGCGUGCCUAAUACAUGCAAGUCGAGCGGUCUCGCGCAAGCGGGGACAGCGGCGGACGGGUGAGGAACACGUGAGUAACCGAGCGCGGAGUGGGGGAUAGCCCGGAGAAAUCCGGAUUAAUACCGCAUAUGCCCUACGGGUAAAGCGGGGGAUCGUAAGACCUCGCGCUGGUGGAUGAGCCUACGUCCGAUUAGUUAGUUGGUGGGGUAAAGGCCUACCAAGGCGACGAUCCGUAGCUGGUCUGAGAGGACGACCAGCCACACUGGGACUGAGACACGGCCCAGACUCCUACGGGCGGCAGC